GGCAUUCAAGACAUAAAAGGAAACAUCCGAACAAAGUCAUCUGCAACAAACAUAGACUAGCAUUCUAGAAAUAAAAUUAACCAAAAAAAAAAGUAUUAAAAUAUCCAUAACAACCAUAAACCAACAUGUAUAAGUUCGAAACAAUCUAACCAUCCAUAGGAGGAGGAGGGAGACGAGAUAUUAGAGCGACCGUGUUUUCCUCAAGAACAGACAUCUGCCCUCCAAACGUCUCAAUGAAUGAAUCAAAUUGGGCAUCAAAAUGAGCAUGAAUGUCAUUAGAGGUGGUUCGAAGAGACUCGAGAACCACAUAUGUGCGUGGAGAAGUAGGAGAGACAUAUCAAGGACCAUUAUCAUUGGUGGCCUCAUCAUCCUCUUCCACUUGUUGACCUUGAUGAGUGGGACCUUGCUACUGUCCUCCUUAAGAAGUAUCAUAUUAGGAGCUCUUCUUGAUCCAUUGACCCUUUUUAAAAUCAUAACCACAACUCCAAGGGGAUUGGGCAUUAAUAUAGCUUGACAUAGGACAACCCGGAUCAAUAUCGACAUUGAUACCUAGCUUACGAAAAAGGAUGGAUAGGACUUGAGGGGAAAAAUGAUGGAGAAAAAUCUUUUGAUAACUCCUAUCAUAUGAAGAAAGAUGAUUGAUGCUAGGUUCAACCUAUGUUUGAUUUGGACGCAAUGGAUGAUCCAAUAAUCUGGAAGACAGAAUGUGGCAUGUUUAUGAGUCAAGUCAAUUUUCCAAGAAUUGAUCAACUAAAGAAAACGGUCAUGAAGCUCAAGGGAACCGAUAUUAUCUCCAUAAGGCCAAAUAGACGGAGGGAAAUCACUGUUGAUCUCGCAAUCACCUUCAUUUGGAUUAUCUAAAUGGGUGGCAAUGGUCUCAAUAUCUAUUUCUAUUUUGGUAUCCAUAAGAUAUGACGUAAUAAUUAGGACUCGGUGACCGGUGGAAUCAUGAACGAUUUUGGCAUUUGAAUAGAAUGUACGGACAAGUUUGUCAUGACAAUGGUCGUUAUAUGACAAGACCGUUGUCCAUCUCCACUCGUCAAGAGUGUCAAGAUAACGGAAAUGGAGUUCAUUUUUCAAAAAAUUAUAGCUUAUCGAAGGAGAGGUGAAGACUUUCCGAUUGGUGAAAUAUCGGUAUAAUGAGCAAGCUUGACCGGAGAGCAGAAAUAGUCCAAAAAGGACGAAUGAGGGGGAUUAAUAGUAGGCUCGGAAUCGGAGUCACUUUCUCUAGCACGUUUAGAGGUGGCUCGCUUGAACAUGGUUCGAGAAGGCAUGAUUAGGUAAGGAAAAAUAUACUAACGGUAAUGGAUAAUGAAACCUGCAAAAAAAAUACACAAGGCAAUUUAUAUCCCUAAUAGUAGCAAACUUGGUGUAAAUGAAACGAUUUUAAAAUCUAUGCAAUGGUGUGAAAGUGUGUAUGUAUAUAUAUAUAUUUAUCAACAUAGGUUGUAAAAGAUGCACAAAUAAAUAGAUAUAUAACAUAAGGAGAAUAAGUACAUAUAUGUAAUGAUAAAAAUAUAUAGAUAUAGUACAUAAUUAACGAUACAUAAUUGUUGGGUUUUUUACUAAAUUAUUAUAAAAAAUAAAAAAUAACCAAAAUAUUAUAAUUUUUUUAUUUACCAAAAUAUUAUAAUUUUUUAUUUACCAAAAUAUACCAAAAAAUAGAAAAAAAACCUGACCGAUUUGACAACACCCUGGUCGUGCCAAGGUGAUUGGCAACACCAAAGGUGCCAAAGUCAUUGGUGGCACCAAUGUUAUAAUAGGGUCAGUCGGUGGGGGGGAGAAGGAGAGGGAAAGAAAGAAAGAAAAGAAGGAGAGGAAAGAAAGAAAAAGAAGGAAAGAAAAGGAAAUGAGAAGAGAAAUGAUUAAAUGCUAAAGUUACAUAUUCUAUGAAAUUAAAUUGGUUAAUUUAUGAGAAUGCACCACUAAAUUUUCCAUGUUUUCUUUGAAUUUUGUGCAGGGGUGCAAUUUGGACUAAAUAGAAGAAGAAGGAGACAAUUGGGCUAGAUUGAAGAAAGAAGCAAAGAAUGAGGGCCAAAGCAGAAUUUUUCCAAGAUUAAUUAGCUGGAAUUUGUUUUGACUUAGUGGGAGAUUAUUUUGGGAUUUAUUUUUUUUAUCAUGGGAUAUUUUUCCUUGAUUUUCUAUACUAGUUGGCUCUUAAUUUAGCAAAGCUACUAGUAUAAAUAGUGGCUUAUUUUGUUCAUUUUAAUCAUCAAUUCAUGAAUCAAAAUAUUAAGCUUUCAUCUUUCA
rnacentral:lncRNA from 1 species